rnacentral:rRNA from 1 species
AAUAUUGGGCAAUGGGGGAAACCCUGACCCAUCAACGCUGCUUGGAGUAAGAAGGUCUUCGGCUCAUUCACUCCUGUCCUAAGGGACGAGGAAGAGACGGUACCUUAGGAGGACGCCCCGGCUAACUACGUGCCAGCAGUCGCGGUAAUACGUAGGGGGCGAGCGUUGUCCGGAAUGAUUGGGCGUAAAGGGCGCGUAGGCGGCCGUAUAAGUCUGGAGUGAAAGUCCAUUUUUCAAGGAUGGAAUUGCUUUGGAUACUGUACGGCUUGAGUGCAGGAGAGGUUACUGGAAUUCCCAGUGUAGCGGUGAAAUGCGUAGAGAUUGGGAGGAACACCAGUGGCGAAGGCGGCUUUCUGGACUGUAACUGACGCUGAGGAACGAAAGAGUGGGGAGCAAACA